UACGGGGGAGCAAGCGUUGUUCGGAUUUACUGGGCGUAAAGGGCGCGUAGGCGGUCAGCACAAGUCAGUUGUGAAAUCUCCGGGCUUAACUCGGAAAGGUCAACUGAUACUGUGCGACUAGAGUGCAGAAGGGGCAACUGGAAUUCUCGGUGUAGCGGUGAAAUGCGUAGAUAUCGAGAGGAACACCUGCGGCGAAGGCGGGUUGCUGGGCUGACACUGACGCUGAGGCGCGAAAGCCAGGGGAGCGAACGGGAUUGAGAC
rnacentral:rRNA from 1 species